rnacentral:rRNA from 1 species
UGGAGGAAGGUGGGGAUGACGUCAAGUCAUCAUGGCCCUUACGACCAGGGCUACACACGUGCUACAAUGGCGCAUACAAAGAGAAGCGACCUCGCGAGAGCAAGCGGACCUCAUAAAGUGCGUCGUAGUCCGGAUUGGAGUCUGCAACUUGACUCCAUGAAGUCGGAAUCGCUAGUAAUCGUGGAUCAGAAUGCCACGGUGAAUACGUUCCCGGGCCUUGUACACACCGCCCGUCACACCAUGGGAGUGGGUUGCAAAAGAAGUAGGUAGCUUAACCUU